UUUCUGUCCUUCUGAUUCAGUGAAUUUCAGACUGUAAAGACCACACAGGCAGUAAAUGCAAGGAAAAAGAUAAAGACAGCAAGCAGUAACAGAGCUGAAACAAACAGAUGGCCUCAAUCUGUAAUGCUCACCUGAAAGGACAAAACCGUUCUGAACUGAAAACAGCUAUUUCUGCAAUGCCUUGAAGGUGAAGGGAAGAUGAAGCGUACCAUGAAAGCGGCAGCCGCAGGUCUCAUGUGCCCACUUAGUUCUCAGGUGAUGGCCCACGCCACUGUCUUCAGGGUUUACAUUACUCCAGACCCUAUCAGCUGCACAAAACUGCUGAGAGAAAAUCCCACAGACUCAAAGAUUUUGAAUAUAUGACAAAAUAAGGAAGCUUGACCAUCAAUCAGAAGCCAAGGACUGUAACACUUUUUUUUUUUUGGUACCGGGAAUCGAACUCAGGAUCUUGCGCUUGCCCGGCAUGCGCUGUGCUGCUGAGCUAUAUCUCCGCCCCUGUAACACUUUGUGACGCGGACUUUCUUUUCAUACACGAGUAUAAAACCAAUAUUCACUAAUAUUUAUGAGCACUGUUUUUGGAUGUAAAGGGGAGGAAGCCUUAUAUUCACGAAUAAGUAAAUCAUAAUAGAUAUUUGAA